rnacentral:rRNA from 1 species
UACGUACGAGGCGAGCGUUAUCCGGAAUCAUUGGGUUUAAAGGGUCCGUAGGCGGUCUUAUAAGUCAGUGGUGAAAUCUCCCCGCUCAACGGGGAAACGGCCAUUGAUACUGUAGGACUUGAAUUAUUAGGAAGUAACUAGAAUAUGUAGUGUAGCGGUGAAAUGCUUAGAGAUUACAUGGAAUACCAAUUGCGAAGGCAGGUUACUACUAAUGGAUUGACGCUGAUGGACGAAAGCGUGGGUAGCGAACAGG